GAUGAACGCUGGCGGCGUGCCUAAUACAUGCAAGUCGAGCGAACAGACGAGGAGCUUGCUCCUCUGACGUUAGCGGCGGACGGGUGAGUAACACGUGGAUAACCUACCUAUAAGACUGGGAUAACUUCGGGAAACCGGAGCUAAUACCGGAUAAUAUAUUGAACCGCAUGGUUCAAUAGUGAAAGACGGUUUUGCUGUCACUUAUAGAUGGAUCCGCGCCGCAUUAGCUAGUUGGUAAGGUAACGGCUUACCAAGGCGACGAUGCGUAGCCGACCUGAGAGGGGGAGCGGCCACAGUGGAAAGGAGAAACGGACCAAACCAGGAAGGGAGGCAGGGGUAGGAAAUCUUCGGGAAGGGGAAAAAGCCUAAAGGAGAAACGGCGGGGGAGGAAUAAAGGGUUAGGGAGCGUAAAACGUUGUUAAUGGGGAAGAAAAAAUGUGAAAGAAAAUGGGCACGUCUGAACGGAACCUAAUAAGAAGGCCAGGGGAAACUACGG
rnacentral:rRNA from 1 species